rnacentral:rRNA from 1 species
CCUACGGGGGGCAGCAGUGGGGAAUAUUGGGCAAUGGGGGGAACCCUGACCCAGCGACGCCGCGUGAGGGAAGAAGGUUUUCGGAUUGUAAACCUCUGUCCUUGGUGAAGAGUAGAAGACGGUAACCAAGGAGGAAGCCCCGGCUAACUACGUGCCAGCAGCCGCGGUAAUACGUAGGGGGCGAGCGUUGUCCGGAAUGAUUGGGCGUAAAGGGCGCGUAGGCGGCCAUGCAAGUCUGGAGUGAAAGUCCAUUUUUCAAGGAUGGAAUUGCUUUGGAAACUGUGUGGCUGGAGUGCAGGAGAGGUUAUCGGAAUUCCCGGUGUAGCGGUGAAAUGCGUAGAGAUCGGGAGGAACACCAGUGGCGAAGGCGGGUAACUGGACUGCAACUGACGCUGAGGCGCGAAAGUGUGGGGAGCAAACAGGAUUAGAUACCCCUGUAGUC